AUUCAGAUGAUGAGUCCAAAACAGGACGAAAUGCGCAUCCACCGAU
rnacentral:hammerhead_ribozyme from 1 species